GGUGUGUAUUUUCACUCAGAUGGUUGCCAGUACAAGGUUGUGCAGUGGUACGGAAAAAUGCUCACUGUUGACUGCAUAGCUGAGUGUGGGCCUCAUGAAGUUCAACUCGAGCUGGGCACGCCAUGCGCGGAGGUUUUACCAACAAGGGGCGCGCCUAACUUUGGAAGAAGAAAAUGCCGUAUCGGCCAAUGUGUAAGAACAGUGUGCACUUACAAAAGGAUGAGUGUUGAAGUUUGCCAAGUACCAUACGCAAGUUUUCAUCCUGGAUACCGUGGACGUUAUCGUGCAUUACUACAACGGUACAAGGAGUUUUGAGCCGCCUGUUUGUCGUGAAA